GUAAUAAACUAUAACCGACACAUACAUUUUAAUUCUCUGUCACGGGAAGCGAGUAAUUCGUUUCUCGUCGAUUCUGAGAAAAUACACUUUUUUAGUUAAUACACUAUUGUAUUAGUAGUGCGAUAUCUGGAAUCAACGAACUGUAUUGAUACGAGCUGAGGUAGUAUCGGCUCUUAAUUUUUUCCCAUCAUUAGAAUUCAAUUAUCUCAGAUCGAAACUCAUAUUUAUUAUUCAUAAUAUUUGAAGAGCUCCGUGGUCGUGCGGCUUAUACGCCGGUUUUCAUGGCGUCGCCGUCUCUUAGGUCCCGGGUUCGACCGGCCGGGUCCAUGUAGAGGAACUAACUUUUCUAUAUUGUCUGGUCUGGGUGCCUAUGAUACCGUCGUUGUUUGCGAUUUCCAUAACACACGUGCUUUUUUUUAUGCGAUGUUGUCUAUACUAAACUGGGAUGGUCCCUGUGAAACUCCAUUUGACGUUUGUCAUAGCGAUGAGGUAAAGGCAAUAGAUUUUUGAAGCAAAAGUUCCCACUUAUAGGUUUAAUUUUCUUACGUAUUCUGAAUGUUGCGAUGUAUGAAGUGUUUUGUAUUGUGUAUAUUGAAAGCAUAAAACACGCAACUAGAAUUCAUUUACAGUUGAAUUGAUGUUUUAGAAAUUUUCAAAAAACAUUUAUAAUUUAUAGACUUCAAAAAGUAAUAAAAUUAAUGUAACAUGUUAAUCCGUUGCCAAUGACUAAAAUUCAUACAUUAAAAAUGAAUACCCGCACUAAACAUUUAUUCGUUAAAUUAUCGAAAACUUUUUAUCGAUAUACCGCAUCUUUAGCAAAUGCAGUGUAACGAAGUAACCUUUGCACGUCGUUGUAAAAAAGUAAUGAAUUUUGGACAAAAAUGUUUUUCCGCUUAUUCCUCACAAAUUAACACUGAUUUGGUGUUAUUUUUAUUUCAAUUUUAUGUAUUUAUUUAACAAACAUUUAAGAGCGAGGCCAUUAAAAAUAGUAUGAAAUACGUAAAUUAGUGCACGUCGUUACAAAGUUAUAUAUAUUGUGUAGAUCUUUAUGAACUGUCACAGGGAUCAUCUUAGAUUAUUUUUAGUAUAUUUGUUUAGUUAUUAUUAUUUAUUUAAUAUUCGGUAGUGGCACUAUGUGCUAGUUUCAAAUGUUAUGCAUUUCGGUAAGAGGAAGAACAGCCGUUCAUAAAUUGUGCGAUUCGAUUAAUAUCAAAUUAUGUCAAUGACCUUGACGUUAGCGCGCUGUUUUAAUGCCAUAUAAAUAGUACGAAUUAUUCCUUAAACAACUAAAAUUACGUCGUGGUUACUGUUUAAUUAGUAUUUCUUCAUCUGGUUUUAUACAUCGCUCAUUCAACUUUUUACGAUUGUACGUUGAGUAGUUUAAAUACGUACUUUGUGAUUAUUGUAAAGUGAAAAAUAGAGCUUGCCAAUUUAACAGAGAAAGUCACUUUGUAACUUAUUUUAAAAACAAACAAAUGUCAUUUUACUCCGUGUCUUGGAAGAAACAUAGUACCUAUAGUUAAAGGUUCAAAUUUCGUAUAGGGCCGAGCCCUGGGGCAUUGUGCUCAGGAAGCUGGCUGGCUGGUUAUUUUUUGGCUGAAGUAGCUGUCAGCUUUCUGGUCACAGGAGGCUUCAAUGGGGCAAACUGAAGAUCUCACUGUGCCAACAUCUUGUACAACAAUUAUUUCCUGGUUACCCGGCUCGUGCAGCCAGCCAAUUUACUAGUCAAAUUAAGCAGUUUAGGACUCCCGUACUUCCAGUUUUAAUCUUAAUUUUCACGACAAGAAUACUUAAAAAUUUCCGCUCAAUCUUGUAUUCUGAAAUAUGGUAUUCCAUUUUCAAUUAAUUGCUUUGUAAAUCAAUUGUUUUUGGUCGAAAAAAGAACUUUACUACAAUUAGAGUUGUACAUUUUAAAAGCUCCAUUUACACACUUCUAAAUAAAAUAGAAAACAAAUCGAAGACAUGCCGCCCAGUGUCUUGACACAGCUCGAUUACUGUCAAUUCUGUACAUAUCUAGUUCAUUAUCAAGGUGCGUUCACAAUCAUAUUCGACGUUAUCAGCUCAUAAGUUCUGUUAUGAUAUUUUGCGAAUACUAGGCUCAUCUGUAUUAGAAAGGAAUAUUGGAAUUUCGAAUAUAUUUGUGAAUACACUUCAUAUUUAGAUUUUAACCUGCGACUGUUAUUUAUUUAAUGUAGGAAAGUGCUUUUUAUAUACCUAGUUUCUUUUCGUAGUCAGUCUUUCCUUUUUAUUGUGGCUACUUUUUCACUUAGAGGUGAAAGGGGUAAGAAUAUUUUUGUUGUUGCCCCUUUUGUAUUAUUAAAAAGUGAAACGAUAGUAAAUAUUUCUUUUAAUUUAAGCCCUUUCAUACCAAUAGACAAAGGGAUAGAAAUAUUUUUUAUUUAUGUCCUUGAUACUAAUGUGGAGUCAAAAUAAUGGAAAUAUUUUUAUUGUUGCCCUUUUUAUGCUAAUAGAGAGGGAAAGGGACGUUUUAUUGUUGUCCCUUUCACACUGAUAAAGAGUAAAAGUGAUAGUUUUUUUUGUUUUAUGCCCCUUUCGUACCAAUGAAGAGUGAAAAGGUUAGUAAUAUUUUGUUGUUGCCCCUUUAAUGCUAAGUAGAAAGCGAAAGAAACGAUAAUAUUUUAAUUAUUGUCCCUUUAAAUUGUAAGCUAUUUAUUUAUGCGCUUGUUUAAUGAGGCAUUGAAACGUGAACAUGAACCCCACAAGUUUAUUCGCGCAAGACUCUAUUUCCAAUGCAAACGGAGCAGAAUGGGUCCGAAUGUAACGAAAUUGUACAUAACAUAAUGGACUUUACGAUACGCGAGAAUUCUGCUCGAUCGAUUCGACCUGAUUUUUUGGCUCGUAAUUUAGUUUGUACGCUACAACAAUUGCCAUUUUUAUUUCUUUAUAACAUCAUCAUCAUAUACAGCCUGACUUCACCCACUACUGGGUAUAGGCCAGGCCCCGCAAGUUUUUGUGCCAUUUCCCACGGUCCUGCGCCAGUCUCGUCCACCAUCUGUUAUCUUAUCUGCCAGGUGCCCGUUUCAUUUCUACUUUCGUUCCGUGAUGUCAUUCCCCACGUCUUUUACUUUCGUUCGACUUCGAAUCUGGACGUUGAGAACACAGUCUAUAGUCUUGAUACCGAGCAUGACACGC